rnacentral:rRNA from 1 species
UACGUAGGGGGCGAGCGUUGUCCGGAUUUAUUGGGCGUAAAGAGCGUGUAGGCGGCCAGGUAGGUCUGCUGUGAAAACUCGAGGCUCAACCUCGAGACGUCGGCGGAAACCAUCUGGCUAGAGUCCGGAAGAGGAGAGUGGAAUUCCUGGUGUAGCGGUGGAAUGCGCAGAUAUCAGGAGGAACACCGAUGGCGAAGGCAGAUCUCUGGGCCGUAACUGACGCUGAGGAGCGAAAGCGUGGGGAGCGAACAGG